rnacentral:rRNA from 1 species
UACGGAGGGUCCAAGCGUUAUCCGGAAUCAUUGGGUUUAAAGGGUCCGUAGGCGGUUUUGUAAGUCAGUGGUGAAAGCCCAUCGCUCAACGGUGGAACGGCCAUUGAUACUGCAAGACUUGAAUUAUUGGGAAGUAACUAGAAUAUGUAGUGUAGCGGUGAAAUGCUUAGAGAUUACAUGGAAUACCAAUUGCGAAGGCAGGUUACUACCAAUAUAUUGACG